GGUGAGUAGCUCCUCUAGAGCUACCCUGGCAGGGUGAGUAGGUUCCUCUAGAGCUACCCUGGCAGGGUGAGUAGGUUCCUCCUGAGCUACCCUGGCAGGGCGAGUAGGUUCCUCCAGAGCUACCCUGGCAGGGUGAGUAGGUACCUAGCCACCCAUCACUUCAGAAGAGCAGGGGUGUAUUCAUUAGUCGUCAGACCAUAGGAAAAUAUUUGGCCUGUUGCAACACGUUUUUCAUCGGCAACCGUUAACCAUUUACUCUAGGAACCAAACGGACGCAAACGGGGAGGGACCGACCUGAAGCUGUCCAAUAGAAAUCAUUUCCGACCUGAAGCUGUCCAAUAGAAAUAAUUUUUGCAACAUACCAACCUUUUGCUGCGGUCUUCCUGACUGACUGUCUGUCUCCCCCUAUAGGCUGGACUGACUUCCUGACUGUCUGUCUGUCUCCCCCUACAGGCUAAACUGACUUCCUGACUGACUGUCUGUCUCCCCCUACAGGCUGGACUGACUUCCUGACUGUCUGUCUCCCCCUACAGGCUGGACUGACUUCCUGACUGACUGUCUGUCUCCCCCUACAGGCUGGACUGACUUCCUGACUGACUGAUCUGUCUCCCCCUACAGGCUGGACUGACUUCCUGACUGUCUGUCUGUCUCCCCCUACAGGCUGGACUGACUUCCUGACUGACUGUCUGUCUCCCCCUACAGGCUGGACUGACUUCCUGACUGACUGAUCUGUCUCCCCCUACAGGCUGGACUGACUUCCUGACUGUCUGUCUGUCUCCCCCUACAGGAUGGACUGACUUCCUGACUGUCUGUCCGUCUCCCCCUAUAGGCUGAACUGACUUCCUGACUGACUGUCUGUCUCCCCCUACAGGAUGGACUGACUUCCUGACUGACUGUCUGUCUCCCCCUACAGGCUGGACUGACUUCCUGACUGACUGAUCUGUCUCCCCCUAUAGGCUGGACUGACUUCCUGACUGACUGAUCUGUCUCCCCCUAUAGUGCGUUACUCCACCCAGUAUGAAGAGAGACUGGACCCCUUCGCCUUCUUCAGCAAGAAGGAACGCCACCAUAGAUACCUAAGCCUCAGCCCCUGGGACAAGGUUACCCUCUGGCCUGGUGAGUCAUACAGACAUAUAGAUCUGUAGCAAGGUUACCCUCUGGCCUGCUGAGUCAUACAUACUGGUGAGUCAUACAGACAUAUAGAUCUGUAGCAAGGUUACCCUCUGGCCUGCUGAGUCAUACAGACAUAUAUAUCAGUAACAAGGUUACCCUCUGGCCUGCUGAGUCAUACAUACUGGUGAGUCAUACAAACAUUCACCCAUGUGUUUUAGGGUCGUAGCAUUCUCUCCAACAAGAUGGCCAGAACCAUUACAUUCUUCUACACCCUCUUCCUGCAUUGCCUGGUCUUCCUGGUAUGUAAUAGCCUUUGACCUUUCACCUCCCACCAGCCCGGUGCCCAUUGGCUAUUCAGAGAUGUUUGCCGAUGUCAUAAUGUGUGUUUGUGUGUUUUCUCAGGUGCUUUAUGAGACUGCCUGGAGUAAGAGCAUCGGUCGAGACUGCUCUGCCUUCUGUGCUAAGAAGUACUCGGAUCACCUGCAUCGUUUUCAUGAGAACGGGGACAACCUGUGAAACUUUCAAGACAACUGGUGUGGGGGGUGGGGGACUAGGUCAAUUCAUGACGUCAGUGAUCUUCAGGUCAGAAAGUUGAAGUUCUAGAAAGAUGCCAGAGUUUCCGACUUGGAAUUCCGAGUUGGGUGACUGCUCAACACUAUUUUCCAAGUCUUGAGUUUUUUUUCCCAGAGUUGGUUUGACUGGAAGAACAGCUUUAUUUUCUGCAGUUGCUGUUUUUAACCACUAGGGGGUAGGCUUGCUCUCUUCUAAGUGGAUGUGGUUUACGUGUAAACCCGUAAUAUUUCAUUGUCAAAUCCUUGCAUUAACCCUAAACUUAAACAAAACCAAUGUUAUUUUGGCAAGUCGGGCUGUCAAUGGGAUGCUGGUCAGAAAAGUCCCCUUAGGUCUUGCUCUAUUCUGUUCUAGCCUGUAAUCUCCUAUACUGAUAUUAACUGUAAUCUCCUAUACUGAUAUUAACUGUAAUCUCCUAUACUGAUAUUAACUGUAAUCUAUACUGAUAUUAACUGUAAUCUCCUAUACUGAUAUUAACUGUAAUCUAUACUGAUAUUAACUGUAAUCUCCUAU